CUCAAUGGCGGCUGUACGCGGGCAGACCUCGGUCUGGCCGAGUCCUACUACUCGGUUUUCCACCCCGCGUAUGGCUGCCACCUAA
rnacentral:antisense_RNA from 1 species